CCUACGGGAGGCAGCAGUGGGGAAUAUUGCACAAUGGGGGAAACCCUGAUGCAGCGACGCCGCGUGAGUGAAGAAGUAAUUCGUUAUGUAAAGCUCUAUCAGCAGGGAAGAAAAUGACGGUUCCUGAGUAAGAAGCCCCGGCUAAAUACGUGCCAGCAGCCGCGGUAAUACGUAGGGGGCAAGCGUUAUCCGGAUUUACUGGGUGUAACGGGAGCGUAGACGGCAGUGCAAGUCUGGAGUGAAAGGCGGGGGCUCAACCCCCGGACUGCUCUGGAAACUGUACGGCUGGAGUGCAGGAGAGGUAAGUGGAAUUCCUAGUGUAGCGGUGAAAUGCGUAGAUAUUAGGAGGAACACCAGUGGCGAAGGCGGCUUACUGGACUGUAACUGACGUUGAGGCUCGAAAGCGUGGGGAGCAAACAGGAUUAGAUACCCCAGUAGUC
rnacentral:rRNA from 1 species